CCUACGGGAGGCAGCAGUCGGGAAUAUUGCGCAAUGGAGGAAACUCUGACGCAGGGACGCCGCGUAGAGGAAGAAGUUUUUCGGAAUGUAAACUAUUGUCGUUAGGGAAGAGAAAGGACAGAACCGAAGGAGGAAGCGCCGGCUAACUACGUGCCAGCAGCCGCGGUAAUACGUAGGGAGCGAGCGUUAUCCGGAAUUCUGGGGGGUAAAGGGUGCGUAGACGGGACAACAAGUUAGUUGUGAAAUCCCUCGGCUUAACUGAGGAACUGCAACUAAAACUCUUUUUCUUGAGUGCAGGAGUGGUAAGUGGACUUCCUCGUGUAGCGGUGAAAUGCGUAGAUAUUAGGCGGAACCCCAGUGGC
rnacentral:rRNA from 1 species